AUGUUUCACUUUGGNAGCACAUAUACUAANACUGGAAGGAUACAGAGAUUAGCAUGGUGUCUAUGCAAGGAUGACACACAAAUUUGUGGAGCAUCCCAUAUUUUA
rnacentral:snRNA from 1 species